rnacentral:rRNA from 1 species
AGCGUAGGCGGCUGAUUAAGUCAGCGGUGAAAGGUAGCAGCUUAACUGUUUUACAUGCCGUUGAUACUGGUUAGCUUGAGUUGACAGAAGGCAGAUAGAAUUCCUGAUGUAGCGGUGAAAUGCUUAGAUAUCAGGAGGAAUACCGAUUGCGAAGGCAGUCUGCUGCAGUCACACUGACGCUGAGGCUCGAAGGUGCGGGGAUCAAACAGGAUUAGAUACCCCUGUA